CCAUACUCAGCAUUGAUAGAGUACUCAUCAAACAGUACUGAAACACCUCUCACAUUUAUAAAAGCAUUGUUGGGAGAGGUCAGGUAGGUAUAGAACUCCCGUACCACCUUUGUUAAAACAUCUUCUGGAUGCAAGCAAAAGAUUGUCUUCUCUUUGAACCUAGAAUUGAACAACAACACAUGUUGUCCAUGUUCCAAUUUUC
rnacentral:lncRNA from 1 species